UACGGAGGGUGCAAGCGUUAUCCGGAUUCACUGGGUUUAAAGGGUGCGUAGGUAGGCAGGUAAGUCAGUGGUGAAAUCUCCGGGCUUAACCCGGAAACUGCCGUUGAUACUAUUUGUCUUGAAUAUUGUGGAGGUAAGCGGAAUAUGUCAUGUAGCGGUGAAAUGCUUAGAUAUGACAUAGAACACCAAUUGCGAAGGCAGCUUACUACACAACGAUUGACGCUGAGGCACGAAAGCGUGGGGAUCAAACAGG
rnacentral:rRNA from 1 species